ACUCAAAUGAAUUGACGGGGACCCGCACAAGCAGCGGAGCAUGUGGUUCAAUUCGACGCAACGCGAAGAACCUUACCUGGGCUUGACAUGUUGGUGACAGCCGUGGAAACACGGUCUCCCUUCGGGGCAUCAUCACAGGUGGUGCAUGGCUGUCGUCAGCUCGUGCCGUGAGGUGUUGGGUUAAGUCCCGCAACGAGCGCAACCCCCGCCCCAUGUUGCCAGCGGUUCGGCCGGGGACUCAUGGGGGACUGCCGGUGACAAACCGGAGGAAGGUGGGGAUGACGUCAAGUCAUCAUGCCCCUUAUGUCCAGGGCUACACACGUGCUACAUUGGCCGCUACAGAGGGUUGCGAUACCGCGAGGUGGAGCGAAUCCCAAAAAGGCGGUCUCGGUUCGGAUUGGAGGCUGAAACUCGCCUCCAUGAAGGUGGAGUUGCUAGUAAUCGCGGAUCAGCAAUGCCGCGGUGAAUACGUUCCCGGGUCUUGUACACACCGCCCGU
rnacentral:rRNA from 1 species